GAUGAACGCUGGCGGCGUGCCUAAUACAUGCAAGUCGAGCGAACAGACGAGGAGCUUGCUCCUCUGACGUUAGCGGCGGACGGGUGAGUAACACGUGGAUAACCUACCUAUAAGACUGGGAUAACUUCGGGAAACCGGAGCUAAUACCGGAUAAUAUAUUGAACCGCAUGGUUCAAUAGUGAAAGACGGUUUUGCUGUCACUUAUAGAUGGAUCCGCGCCGCAUUAGCUAGUUGGUAAGGUAACGGCUUACCAAGGCAACGAUGCGUAGCCGACCUGAGAGGGUGAUCGGCCACACUGGAACGGAGACACGGUCCAGACUCCUACGGGAGGCAGCAGUAGGGAAUCUUCCGCAAGGGGCGAAAGCUUGACGGAGCAACGCCGCGUGAGUGAUGAAGGUCUGCGGAUCGUAAAACUCUGUUAUUAGGGAAGAACAAAUGUGUAAGUAACUAUGCACGUCUUGACGGUACCUAAUCAGAAAGCCACGGCUAACUACG
rnacentral:rRNA from 1 species